rnacentral:lncRNA from 1 species
GGUGUUGAUAAAGUCAAAACAUGGAUUGACGACAUGCGUGUAUGGCCAAAUAUGAUGUACGGAGAUAUUUACAACUUUCUUGUGGAGUCAAAAGCAGUUGAUGGUCAACAAAUGAAAAACUUUAAAAGCCUUCAAAGCUUUAACUAUUUUCAAAGUGGAAACGUAGGUGUUACAACGCAUCAUAUUAAACAAUGAUAAGAC